rnacentral:rRNA from 1 species
UACGAAGGGGGCUAGCGUUGCUCGGAAUCACUGGGCGUAAAGCGCACGUAGGCGGAUUGAUAAGUCAGGGGGGAAAUCCUGGAGCUCAACUCCAGAACUGCCUUUGAUACUGGCGACCUUGAGUCCGGGAGAGGUGAGUGGAACUGCGAGUGUAGAGGUGAAAUUCGUAGAUAUUCGCAAGAACACCAGUGGCGAAGGCGGCUCACUGGCCCGGUACUGACGCUGAGGUGCGAAAGCGUGGGGAGCAAACAGG